rnacentral:rRNA from 1 species
AGCCUUUAGCAUAUUUUAAGUAUUAAAGGUGACGCCUGCCCAGUGAACAAUUCAACGGCCGCGGUAUCCUAACCGUGCAAAGGUAGCGUAAUCACUUGUCCCCUAAAUAGGGACCUGUAUGAACGGCUAAAUGAGGACUAAUCUGUCUCCUCUAACCAAUCAGUGAAACUGAUCUGCCAGUACAAAAGCUGGCAUUUUUUCAUAAGACGAGAAGACCCUGUGGAGCUUUAAAUUUUAAGCCACAAACCACUAAUUUUAAAUAGUACACUAUGGCCAAAAAUUUUAAGUUGGGGCGACUUCGGAAAAAAACAAAACUUCCGAGCAUAAAGAAUAUUAAUCUUACCAAGACCUACGAGUCAAAGCAAAAUCAGACCCAGUAAAACUGAUCAUCGAACCAAGUUACCCCAGGGAUAACAGCGCAAUCCUCUUCAAGAGUCCAUAUCGACAAGAGGGUUUACGACCUCGAUGUUGGAUCAGGACACCCAAAUGGUGCAGCCGCUAUUAAGGGUUCGUUUGUUCAACGAUUAAUAGUCCU